GUGCUUGCUUUGGCAGCACAGAUACUAAAAACUGGAACAAUGCAGAAAAUUAGCAUCGUCCCUGUGCAACGAUGACAUGAAAUUCAUGAAGCGUUCCACAUUUUU
rnacentral:snRNA from 1 species